AUGAACGCUGGCGGCGUGCCUAAUACAUGCAAGUCGAGCGAACAGACGAGGAGCUUGCUCCUCUGACGUUAGCGGCGGACGGGUGAGUAACCCGUGGAUAACCUACCUAUAAGACUGGGAUAACUUCGGGAAACCGGAGCUAAUACCGGAUAAUAUAUUUAACCGCAUGGUUCAAUAGUGAAAGACGGUUUUGCUGUCACUUAUAGAUGGAUCCGCGCCGCAUUAGCUAGUUGGUAAGGUAACGGCUUACCAAGGCAACGAUGCGUAGCCGACCUGAGAGGGUGAUCGGCCACACUGGAACUGAGACACGGUCCAGACUCCUACGGGAGGCAGCAGUAGGGAAUCUUCCGCAAUGGGCGAAAGCUUGACGGAGCAACGCCGCGUGAGUGAUGAAGGUCUUCGGAUCGUAAAACUCUGUUAUUAGGGAAGAACAAAUGUGUAAGUAACUAUGCACGUCUUGACGGUACCUAAUCAGAAAGCCACGGCUAACUACGUG
rnacentral:rRNA from 1 species